GCCUUUUUAUUUAUUUAAACCUACAACAGUACUUUCUCCUAUUUAUUAAGCCCGAUUGAGUUUUACGAGGAUAAAAGCGAGUAAGUCGAAGUAUUUAUUUAUUCUUUUCUAUCGACUACGAGGAGCGUGGUUUAUUUAAUCGGCGGAUUAGAACACCCUGCAAAGAACGGAUUAAUUUUAGUUAAUUAUCCGGCUUCAUGAGACGAGACUUAGCUUUUGUUUAAAUCCAAUAAGCCUGGAUUAACAAUAGAAAUUCCCUGGUUAUUAUUUCAGAAUAAUAAUUCAUGCAUAAGAGGACCAUGCAUCGUUAAUUUCAUAUUCUCAUUAUUUGAGGAUUUUGCUCGAGCAGUAUCUUAUUUAUAUUCUCGUAAUAAAGGUCAAGCACGAGAUUAAUAAUCAGACAAGGAGCUAUUGUACCACAAAAAGUUUCUAUCAGGUGGGCAUUACUUUCAUAUAUAUCAAAUGAGUUUAAAUGUUACGUUCAAGCAAGUUAUUUCAUGAUAAAAUCUUUGAGUUAAAGUUAUUUCAAGUAUUGUCUUGCCAUAAAAUGUUUAAAUUUUAGUAUGAUAUCUAUCUGCUUUGGCUUUGCCAAUGAUGCAAUCGAAUUCGGGUCCUGAGCAGUUGAUAGCUAUCCUGCCAGGGCUAGUGUACACCAAUGACCGUGAGUCAUCUAGCGGGUUGGCCGGUCAAGUGUUUGUGAGAGGUGGCCACCUCUCCGGCACAAGUUCCAGAUAUGAUAGAUUACAAGAGAACUUAGUCUGCAGACGAACUUUAAGAAUCACAAAUGAACUUAGUAAGCUUGGGCCUAUUUAGCUAAAACUCCCUUGCUGUACUGUUUAUGAUGGCAUGACAAUUUACAGUUUUACGAAGCAUGUAUUUUUAUACUUAGGCAUACGUGCCCACUGAGUACUUUUGUACUCAGCCCUGCAUAUAUUUCUAAAUGUGCAGGUUGAGCAGCUGCCGAUGGUGAUGAAGUGACGAGCGGGACUCUUUUGUCUUAUUAUAUAUUAAUGAACUCUAGGAUACAUGUCUUCAUACAUGUAAUCAGAACCUUAUUCCGUUGCG
rnacentral:lncRNA from 1 species